AACGAACGCUGGCGGCAGGCUUAACACAUGCAAGUCGAGCGCCCCGCAAGGGGAGCGGCAGACGGGUGAGUAACGCGUGGGAAUCUACCUAGUUCUACGGAACAACUCAGGGAAACUUGAGCUAAUACCGUAUACGCCCUUCGGGGGAAAGAUUUAUCGGAAUUAGAUGAGCCCGCGUUGGAUUAGCUAGUUGGUGAGGUAAUGGCUCACCAAGGCGACGAUCCAUAGCUGGUCUGAGAGGAUGAUCAGCCACACUGGGACUGAGACACGGCCCAGACUCCUACGGGAGGCAGCAGUGGGGAAUAUUGGACAAUGGGCGCAAGCCUGAUCCAGCCAUGCCGCGUGAGUGAUGACGGCCUUAGGGUUGUAAAGCUCUUUCAACGGUGAAGAUAAUGACGGUAACCGUAGAAGAAGCCCCGGCUAACUUCGUG
rnacentral:rRNA from 1 species